ACACCAGCUCCAUCCCACGCAGACGGAAAUGUGGUCCUCAGAGACCAGCAGGGACGCUUUGGUGAGUGGGGUUUGGUGGUGGAGCUCCAUUUCCAAUGGAAGGCGUGAGAACUAUGCAGAGAAACAGACCCAGAAGCCUGAUCCUAGGGCUGGGGCCAGUGUUGGGGAGGGUCAUGGAGACGACGACCUGGUGAGUGCCGUGACCCAAGGAUUGAGUGAUCCCUCAAGGACAUGAGGAGUUUAGAGGAGAGAAGCCAGUUUCAUUUCAGACCCGAUGCAGAGUUGAUCCGGCUCAGAAAUUAGGCAGGGAUAAUAGUCCUGGGGUGAAGAGUAUCAGCGAUUGACCAGGAGGGGCCGAGGUGAGCAGGGGCUGACGGCGAGCUAUCUCACGAGAGCGCUUGGAGGUUGAUCCGGCAGAGAGGUGACAAAUGCAAAGGACAGCAAUGAGAACUGCUAGCCAUGCUAGCAAGAGAGACUUUCAUUCCUUUUCUCUCCUUCUAUAAGAUUGUUCUGUUCAUAAAAUUCUAUGAUUUUAGAACUUCUCCCAAUGGAAGAAAAAUGAAAUUAUUGAAGCCCCUUCUGUGUUAUAUAUUGAUGUCCUAUGCAAAACAUGAAUGACCUCACACAAUGAUGGGGUCAAAAGGACAAAGGAGACCUCCCUUUAGCCAAAGCUGAAAUAAUUUGAACAACAAAAUAAGGUACUAUUGGCUUAUAACCAAAAAAUAAAGCAUAAAGGAAGUAUCCCUGAGUCCAUAGCGCUGGAAAGCAGUGACUGGAGAGGGAAACAAAUGAGGGAGGACAGACGAACUGUGCAGACGAAUCCCGAAUCAGGUGGAUACUCAGCCUCCAGGGAGCGGAGCCUCACUCCCCAGCCCUUCCGUGUGUGCUGUGCAGAGAGGUAUGUGCUUCCUUCCAAAGAGGACAGCGUGGAAAGGGCCAAAGGAGGAACUGGACAGUGACCAACACGGCCUCAGCCAGAUGAUCAAAGUCAAUGUCAACAAUGGGAUGUCAAGGGGAAGGAUCAAGAUGGAGGAGGAUUAAGACGUUGUACUCACCUUUUCCCACAAACACAUCAAAAAACACAACUACAUGUAGAACGAUUCACAUAGAACAUCUACUGACCACUGGCAGAACAACUUAAACCUCCAAAAAGGGCAAGAAACCCUCCACAUAACUGGGUAGAACAGAAGAAAAAGAGUGCUAGAUAAAAGGAAUUAGGAUGGGACUAGCACUACUGAGAGGGAGCUGUUAAAGAGAAAAGGGACUGAUAGGGAGAUCAGCCAAGAUGGAGGGACCUCAGAGUUGCCAAGAAAAGUUCAGCAGCUGGACUGAGGAGGGCAAAGCAGAGUAACAGCCAUACAGAGUAUCUGCACCACCGCCCAGGACAGCACACCCUGAGACACUCAGGUGGGGGCUGGGUGCUGAGAUUCAGGUUUCAGAGGUCAGUUCUGGAGAGAGGACUAGGGAUGUCUGUGUGGAGAUAGCCUGAGGGGCUAGAGAGUGGUGUGCUAUGGGCUGGGGAGCAGAACACCACAGCCGAGGGAACCCAGAAGGAGGUCUGGGCCAGGAUGAGAAGCAAGCCGUUGUUGGGGAGGGUGAGAAGAGGAGGGGCAGACUACCAUAGGAAUCUCUUCCCCUGUGCAUGCGCUGGCUCUCAGAGGGUGGGGCACCUCUGGCACAGACUAGGGUGGCACGAGGCCCCUAGCUCGGUCUCCGGGAGAUGGGGUACCUCUUGUGCAGGCUAUGGGUGGCCAGCAACUUCUUGUGUGGGUAAGGGCAGCGGGGGGCUAAGUGCAAUGUGGUGCUUCUUGCAUGAUCUACAGGUGGCAGGGACAAACCACAGCAGUCAUCUCAGAAACCAGAGGGAGGUGUGGCCUCCCACCACUAGGGGUCUGUGAACAGCCUCCAUGUGUGGCUCCAUUCACCUCAGAGGUCAGCAAAAAAGAGGACAUUGCAACUGAGCACCACCCCUUGUUGCUCUCACUCCCCUGUGAACACACCUACCCUGCUGCUGCCACUGCCAAAUAUUCUAGGCAGUGCCCACACAUGCUUGAUCACUGUCAUGCCAGGACCCUGCAACUAGGAGCAGUCUGUGCAGCACCUCCUGCAUGGGCUGAGGCAGGGUGCAUUGUGUGUGGUCUAUAGGUGGCGGAGGCAAACCACCACAGUUAUCUCUGACUCCAGAGGUGGGCGUGGCCUGCCAUCCUAGGGGUCCAUGAAUAGGCACCAUGUGUGGCCCCCCCAGUCACCUCAGAAGGCACCACAGUGGAGGGCAUUGUGACUGAACACCUCCUGUUGUUGCUCUUACCCCCCUGGGAACUCACACACCCUGCCACUGCCACUGCCACUGCCAAAUGCUCUGGGCACUGUCUAAAUCUGCCUGAGGCUCAUUACCAAUUCCCAGGGCCCUACAACUAGGAGUAGCCUGAGCCACCUUCCUGCAGGUCCUUGCUACUGUCAAGAGCCCAGCAACCAGGCACUGACUACUAGCCCUGCCCAUUGCCUCCUUCUCCCUGGAAACACACUAAGGGGGAUAACAGCCUGCCCACACCAAAGAAAGAGACAGCAAAUAUCUGAACUCCCACACCAAAAACAAAUAGUAACCCUCCACAAAAUACAAAGGGGCUCUCUUAUAUAGAAACAGCCCUCCAAGACUACAGUAGUUGGUUUCCCUAAACUCACAGAAAAAGAAAAAUAUAAGUGAAAUGAAGACCCUCAGGAACCAUUCCCAGUUAAAAGAAUAGGAGAAUUUAUCUGAAGCAGAAAACAAUGAAACAAACCUCUGCAGUCUAAUAGACACUGAGUUCAAAAGGGGGAUAGUGAAAAUAUUGAAGGAAUUAAAAGUGGAUAUAAACAGUAAUGCAGAUUACUUUAGAAAGAAACUGUAAAAUAUAAGGAGGAGUCAAGAGAAAUUAGAAAAUUCAUUUGCAGAGAUGCAAACUGAGUUAAAGGCACUAAAGAGCAGAAUGAAUAAUGCAGAGGAACAAAUUAGUGACUUGGAAGAUAGAAUAGUGGAAAUCACCCAUUCAGGAAAGCAGACAGAAGACCAAAUGAAAAAACAUGAAAGCAAUAUAAGAGAUAUAUGGGAUAAUAUAAAGCAGGCCAAUCUAUGCAUAAUAGGAAUUCUAGAAGGAGAAGAAAAAGAAAGGGGUGUUGAAAACAUAUUUGAAGAAAUUAUGUCUGAAAACUUUCAAAUCUAAAGGAAACAGAUAUCAAGAUACAGGAGGCACAGAAGGCCGCAAACAUAUUGAACCCAAACAGACCCACACCAAGACAUAGUAUAAUAAAAAUGGCAAAAGUUAAAGAGAAAAUUCUAAAGGCAGGAAGAGAAACACAAAGUGUUAAUUAUAAGGGGACCUCCAUAAGGCUAUCAGCUGCUUUCUCUACAGAAACACUACAGGCAAGAAGAAAGUGGCAAGAUAUAUUCAAAGUUCUAAAAGGGAAAAAUCUGCAGCCUAGAAUACUCUACCCAGCAAGAAUAUCAUUUAAAAUAGAAGGAGAAAUAAAGAAUUUUUCCAACAAACAAAAGCUAAAAGAGUACAGCAAUACUAAACCCAUUCUAAAAGAAAUACUGAAAGGGCUUCUCUAAAUUAAAAAGAAGUAAGAAGAAAUAGGAUGGAGGAAAUCACAAUUAGAAAGCAAUCACUUAAAUAAGCCAGUAUACAGAUUGAAAAGAAAAAAAAACUAUUGUAAAAGUGAUGAUAAACACAAGGAACAGCAAGAGGACAAACACAAAUGUGUUAAAAAAAGGACUUCAAAAUCAUAGAAUGUGGGGAAGGAAAGGAAGAAAAUCUAGAUUCUUUUUUAAAAUAAUGUGUUCAAGCCUAUAUGACUAUCUGGCUAAAGCAAUCAGAUAUAGGAAGGGGUUAACAUACUUGAAAAACAGGGCAACCACAAAUCAAAACCAAACAUUACAUUCACAAAAACUAAAAAGUACAAAAGCAUAAAAUAAAA
rnacentral:lncRNA from 1 species